rnacentral:miRNA from 6 species
AAUGACACGUUUUCUCCCGGAUUG